AUCGAACGCUGGCGGCAGGCCUAACACAUGCAAGUCGAGCGAGCGGCGGACGGGUGAGUAAUGUAUGGGGACCGCCCGUUCGAGGGGGAUAACUACUGGAAACGGUGGCUAAUACCGCAUACUGUCGGAUAACCCCUAUUGGAUUAGCUAGUAGGUAAGGUAAUGGCUUACCUAGGCGGCGAUCCCUAGCUGGUCUGAGAGGAUGAUCAGCCACAGGGGGAAUGGGACACGGCCCAGAGUCCUACGGAGGCAGCAGGGGGGAAUGGUGGACAAUGGGCGCAAGGCUGAUGCAGCCAGGCCGCGUGUAGGAAGAGGGACCUAGGGUUUUAAGGUACUUUCAGUCUGGGGGCGUUACCGACAGAAGAAGCACCGGCUAACUCCGUGCCAGCCGCCGCGGUAAUAC
rnacentral:rRNA from 1 species